UUUCAUCCUAUUUCUUCCUCCUUUUAUCCUUUGGGGUGCUGGGUGCUGGGUUUUGGGUGGGGGUUGCGAGGAUGGAAAACCCCAUUUUUUAUCCUAUUUCUUCCUCCUUUUAUCCUUUGGGGAGUUGGGGGUGCUGGGUUUUGGGUUUUGGGGUGGGUUGUGAGGAUUGCAAACCCCAUUUUUCAUCCUAUUUCUUCCUCCUUUUAUCCUAUGGGGAGUUGGGUGCUGGGUUUUGGGUUUUAGGGUGGGUUGUGAGGA
rnacentral:lncRNA from 1 species